AAAAAGGGCUUCUGUCGUGAGUGGCACACGUAGGGCAGCUCCAUUGCUCUUCGUGCGGAAUCGACAUCAAGAGAUUUCGGAAGCAUAAUUUUUUGGUACCUGGGCAGCUGGUGAUCGUUGGUAAAAAAAAAAAAAAAAAAAAAAAUGCAGAACUAUUAAAUAUUCAGUUCAUUGCAUUU
rnacentral:snRNA from 1 species